GACGAACGCUGGCGGCGUGCUUAACACAUGCAAGUCGAACGGAAAGGCCCUGCUUUUGUGGGGUGCUCGAGUGGCGAACGGGUGAGUAACACGUGAGUAACCUGCCCUUGACUUUGGGAUAACUUCAGGAAACUGGGGCUAAUACCGGAUAGGAGCUCCUGCUGCAUGGUGGGGGUUGGAAAGUUUCGGCGGUUGGGGAUGGACUCGCGGCUUAUCAGCUUGUUGGUGGGGUAGUGGCUUACCAAGGCUUUGACGGGUAGCCGGCCUGAGAGGGUGACCGGCGACAUUGGGACUGCGAUAAGGCCCAGACUCCUACGGGAGGCAGCAGUGGAGAAUAUUGCACAAUGGGCGGAAGCCUGAUGCAGCAACGCCGCGUGCGGGAUGACGGCCUUCGGGUUGUAAACCGCUUUCGCCUGUGACGAAGCGUGAGUGACGGUAAUGGGUAAAGAAGCACCGGCUAACUACGUG
rnacentral:rRNA from 1 species